rnacentral:lncRNA from 1 species
AUAUAUAUAUAUAUAUAAAAGCUAGAAUACUAUGAUCAGUAGCAAACGAAUUCUGUUGCCAUUCAUUUGUUUUGAUGAUAUAGCUUCUAAAUCAACGAUUGAUACCGUUGAAUAUGAUAUAUAACACUUUAAGCGUCUAGAAAUUCAAUUUUAUGUAUUUUCGAUAUUGUUCUCUUGUCAAUCAAGUGGACAAAAAAAUGAAUAGUUAAAAAUGAAUGUUCUUUAAGAUGUAAUGAUAGAAAUUUUGUAAUCUAGAUCAAGAGUAUAAACCUUUUUCUAAAUAGUUUUAAAAAAAAUAACCAAAAUUCAAUUGAUUUGGAUAUCUUUAUAUUGUUAAACGAGAAAACAUCUAAUAUCGACCACUAAAAUUAUAAAUUUUAAAAAUUUUUUAUUAUUAGGCCAAUGAUAUCGAAAAGAUUUAUAUAUUUCAAGUGAUAUAAAUCAUGUUUAACCGUGCUGAUCGUCGAUUUAAAAAUUUCAUCAUCGAAAACAAAUUAAUAAUAAUAGAGCUUGCUUGUUACUGAUAACAUUUCAACUCAACUAUAUAUAUAUAUAUAUAUAUAUAUAUAGAGAGAGAGAGAGAGAGAGAGAGAGAGAGAGAGAGAGAGAUUUGGGGGGAGGGGGAUUGCUGCACUAUCAGUAGAAGGAGGCUUCCAAGCUACUAAUUAAGUUAUUUUCAAUAAUGCAGCUUCUAAUUAAUGAUCUACUUUGUUAGAUUUAAUCUACACUAUAAAAUUAAAGUAUUUAAAAAUUAAAUUUUGAUAACUCCAUAUUUGAAGAGAGAAAAAUAAGAAAGAGAAGAGGAGAGGAGCCGUGAGAGAGCGGGAAAGAGAGAA